rnacentral:lncRNA from 1 species
AAGUUAGCUAGCUAAUGCUAGUGCUCGCUAUCCGGUGUGUGUUUUCAUUUGAAUUACACUUACUGACUCUGGGUUGUUUUUCACCAACAGUGACUCAAGAGGAGGGUUUGCAUACAGAGGUGGCAGUGGGACAUCUUUUUUGUUGCUCAGGAGGAUCAUUCUGAAGUAAGGAGUGGGCUGUACUCUGUGGGGAGCUAAAACUUAAUCACAGAGUCCCAAUACAAAGAAUCUGCAAACAGACUUGCUGACCUGACCACCAGCUCCGACCACCAGCUCCGACCACCAGCUCCGACCACCACUUCCGCUGACCAUCUAGCUAUGAGCUUCCAGAUCCUCUCAUGACCACAGCUGUCCGGCUGCUGGAGGCUUCAAGAAGCACACGCCAUAAGGUGACCCAGCCACGGACUCUUCUCUCUGCUACGGCGCAGCAAGCGGUAUAUACCAGGCGGUGUCACAGUAAGGCCCAAAAAUGUGUCAAAGAAUCCAGUCACCCAAGUCAUUGACUAUUCUCUCUGCUACGGCGCAGCAAGCGGUAUAUACCAGGCGGUGUCACAGUAAGGCCCAAAAAUGUGUCAAAGACUCCAGUCACCCAAGUCAUUGACUAUUCUCUCUGCUACGGCGCAGCAAGCGGUAUAUACCAGGCGGUGUCACAGUAAGACCCAAAAAUGUGUCAAAGACUGCAGUCACCCAAGUCAUUGACUAUUCUCUCUGCUACGGCGCAGCAAGCGGUAUAUACCAGGCGGUGUCACAGUAAGGCCCAAAAAUGUGUCAAAGACUCCAGUCACCCAAGUCAUUGACUAUUCUCUCUGCUACGGCGCAGCAAGCGGUACCGGUGCACCGAGUCUGGAACCAACAGGACCCUGAACAGCUUCUAGUUCCAAGCCAUAAGACUGA